AGCAAUGUCAGACAGGAAGCUGCCGAGGCAUUGCUGUGUAUGGAGUCCCCCACAUCAGAAAACAAAACAUUUCUCCAAGGAAUCUCCCAGCCUCAACAUGCAUCCCUACCCCCCAGCCCUGACAGUGGGUACUCAGAUGACUACUCAGAAGAAAAACUCAAGUUCAACACAUACAUGGGCAGUUCCUCACAACAGUCACCCCCAAUUGUGGCCCCACCCUCAGCAUUCAUACCCCCAUUCUGCCUACAGCCACCGCCAGCUCAUCAACCCCUCCCUGCUCAUUUCAACUCAGCUACUCACAUCGCCAUGAGACCAGAACACAACUUAUACCCAUCAUCCAGUCCUUUGUUAGCAUCUCCACGUAUCCCCUCGCACAGUGACCCAUGCCUCACCUCUACAACGAAUUCACCCCCCUCAUCCCCCAUCAGACAGAAGAGCAAGAAAGGAAGAAAACCCAAAAAUCCGUUGGAAUGCCCCAUCAAUCAGCCAAAAAGGAAGCGAGAAAGUUCCACGACCUACCUCUGGGAGUUCCUGCUGCAGCUCUUACAGAACAGGGAGACCUGCCCCAGGUACAUCAAAUGGACCAAUCGGGAGAAGGGAAUCUUCAAACUGGUUGAUUCCAAAGCCGUCUCCAAACUGUGGGGUCUACACAAAAAUAAGCCUGAUAUGAACUACGAAACAAUGGGGAGAGCUUUGAGGUACUAUUAUGCUCGAGGAAUCCUAAACAAAGUGGAUGGGCAGCGCUUGGUGUAUCAGUUUGCGGAGGUUCCGAAAUCGAUUCUGGAGAUUGACUGUUCGAAUGUGUGAGGGUGAAAAUAACCACCCACAAAAACAUUCCAUAAGGACUUCAUUUCUCCAAUGGGCUCCAAAAACUUGCUGGUUUUAGACUGAGUGAUAAUCUCCUUGGCUUUCUGGCUUCAGACAGUUUGGACCAUUGCAGGGCCAGAUGGCAGGAGUUGUUGUCCUUGUUGAAACUUGGAGCCAGGUUCUAUCUCAGGUCUUCAGUUAAAUGGGUUACUACUCCUUAUGAUGCUAGUCUGUCAAGCAGGAUUCAAGGCAACGAACAAUGCUGUCGGAAAAUAAAAGUCACUUAAGCUGACACCCUCGCUGCGACCAAAUAUUGGCCGGACACGUCCGGUCUCGUGUGAAAUGGACACACAGAAACCUGUUAAAGACCUGUUCAGCUCUGGUAGAGCUGUUCUUAUUUUUUCCUUCUAACUGUGUGAUACUGUGAAUUCCAAGUGUGCAGACUGGUGUGCCAUACUCUCCCAACCUUGUGAUGUACACGAGGGACUGCAUGACUAUGUACUGAACUCGGACCAAAACUUUCCCUGUUGACUUUUGUGGUUUUAUUUUGCCUCUGCCCAGUGCACUGCAGCAUCUGGUCACAAAACUUAAUAAUAAAACAGCUUUAAUGACUCUUUGUACAUAUGCAUAGAUGUACCUGUUAUUUUGGCUCACGAAGUUUGAAUAGUUUUGUGUACAUAUUGAAUUGCCACUGGAUUUGACCAAAUUCUCCUUACAUUCCCAAAUCUGACCACUUUACCUUCCAGUUUUUUGUCUGUUAUAUCUUUUUGUUAUCUGUUAACUGAUUGGAUACUGACAAGAACAGGGCAUUUUGGGAUUUUAGCACACCUUUUACAAUGACGAUAGAUAUUAGAUAGUGUUAUUUUAUAAAUAAAGUGUAUUUUAAUGUACAAUUCUACAUCAGGCAUUAUUGAUGUACAGGCUUGUAAUGUAUGUGCCUCUAAAUUGAGAUUCUUAUUUUUAUACUGUUAAUGGAUGGUCUUUCUGGACCAUCUUUGUUUGUUACCUAUCAGGAGAUCUGUAUAUUUAUCAGCUAAAAUGUCUUUGUACCACAUUUCUUUGCUUAUUUUAAAACAGUUUUUAAAUGAGUGACUGUGUAAUAUUGUCUGCAAACUUCAGCAAAGCUGUCAAAGAUUAAAUUGUCAAAAAAUUUUAAAGAUAACAUUAUUAAAGUGUGAUAUUGUUCUCUUCUGACGAGAUAUUUUUUAAAAUCUUGAUAAAAUUGUUACACCGUAGGUUGGAGAUUGCAAACUCUAAAGUGCAUUUUCCUGGGGGGAGGGAUAUUUUUGCUAUAUGUUGUCAGCCUAUGUAACAGUACCCUGCUAACAGAUUAUAACACAAGAUUGGAGUGUGGUACUCUGAAAUCCAUUUCCUUUCCUGACAUAUCUAGUUAUUUUUUCCAGUGCCUUACUAUUAACAAUCAAUAGUACUUGUCUACUGUUUUAUUCUACAGAGACCUCAAGCAAUCAAUAUCUCAUUAAAUUGAAAAAAAGCAUAUCUACAGUAGCCAGCUACAAUCUACAUCCAAUUUGUAAAAAACGCGUUAAAUGUCAAGAAAUUGGUUUUUAUGAGAUGCUUCUCUCAUUUUAACUCAGAAGUUUGAAAAUGAAUGCAGAAGAUUACGAUGUAAUAUCCUAACCAAAGACUAAGCGCCAUAUUGGCAUAAGUAGGGUCGGCAGCCUCUCUCUGUUGCUCAAUAUUCAGACUUGUCGUCUGCUUUGAACAGUGACCACACGAGUCUGUUUUGUUGUAACCGUGUGAUCUGUUCCUAUGUCAGUUAUCUAUUAAAUAUUCCUGUUUUACCUG
rnacentral:misc_RNA from 1 species